GACGAACGCUGGCGGUGUGCUUAACACAUGCAAGUGGAGCGACGAACCAGGGCUUGCCCUGGGGCAGAGCCGCGAACGGGUGAGUAACACGUGGGGAACCUACCCCGAUGACCGGGACAACCCGAGGAAACUCGGGCUAAUACCGGAUGUGCUCUCCUCACAUCAGUGAGAUGAGUAAAGGAAGCUUCGGCCUCCGCAUCGGGAGGGCCCCGCGGCCCAAUAGCUUGUUGGUGGGGUAAUGGCCUACCAAGGCUGCGAUGGGUAGCUGGUCUGAGAGGGAGGUCAGCCAAAACGGGACCUAGACACGGCCCAGAUUCCCACGGGGAGCAGCAGUGGGGAAUCUUGGCGAAUGCGGGAAAGCGUGACGCAGGAACACCGCGGGGGGGAAGACGGCCUUCGGGUUGUAAACCCCUUUCAGGAGGGACGAAGGCCGGCCGGUGAAUAGCCGUGCCGGUUGACGGUACCUCCACAAGAAGCCCCGGCUAACUACGUGCCAGCCGCCGCGGUAA
rnacentral:rRNA from 1 species